GACGAACGCUGGCGGCGUGCUUAACACAUGCAAGUCGAACGGAAAGGCCCUGCUUGCUGGGUACUCGAUUGGUGAACGGUUGAGUAACACGUUUGGGAUCUGCCCUGCACUUCGGGAUAAGCCUGGGUAACUGGGUCUAAUACCGGAUAGGAGCCAUUUUUAGUGUGAUUGUUGGAAAGUUUUUUCGGUGUAGGAUGAGCUGGCGGCCUAUCAGCUUGUUGGUGGGGUAAUGGCAUACCAAGGCGGCGACGGGUAGCCGGCCUGGGAGUGUGGACGGCAACAUCGGGACUGAGACACGGACCAGACCCCUACGCGAGGGAGAGGUGGCAGUGGUGACUAUAGGGGCGUAAGCGUGAUGCAGCGACGGCGAGUGGGCGAGGGUGACGAAGGGGUUGUAGUCGCAUAUCGCUAGGGCCGAAGAUGUUUGUGACAGUACCUAGAGAAGAAGCUCCGGCUAACUCCGUG
rnacentral:rRNA from 1 species